GACGAACGCUGGCGGCGUGCUUAACACAUGCAAGUCGAACGGAAAGGCCCUGCUUUUGUGGGGUGCUCGAGUGGCGAACGGGUGAGUAACACGUGAGUAACCUGCCCUUGACUUUGGGAUAACUUCAGGAAACUGGGGCUAAUACCGGAUAGGAGCUCCUGCUGCAUGGUGGGGGUUGGAAAGUUUCGGCGGUUGGGGAUGGACUCGCGGCUUAUCAGCUUGUUGGUGGGGUAGUGGCUUACCAAGGCUUUGACGGGUAGCCGGCCUGAGAGGGUGACCGGCCACAUUGGGAAUGAGAUACGGCCCAGACUCCUACGGGAGGCAGCAGUGGGGAAUAUUGCACAGUGGGCGGAAGCCUGAUGCAGAAACGCCGCGUGCGGGAUGACGGCCUUCGGGUUGUAAACCGCUUUCGCCUGUGACGAAGCGUGAGUGACGGUAAUGGGUAAAGAAGCACCGGCUAACUACGUG
rnacentral:rRNA from 1 species